GCACCAGACUCCUACGGGAGGCAGCAGUGGGGGAUAUUGCACAAUGGGGGGAACCCUGAUGCAGCGACGCCGCGUGGGUGAAGAAGUAUUUCGGUAUGUAAAGCCCUAUCGGCAGGGAAGAAUUUAGACGGUACCUGACUAAGAAGCCCCGGCUAACUACGUGCCAGCAGCCGCGGUAAUACGUAGGGGGCAAGCGUUAUCCGGAUUCACUGGGUGUAAAGGGAGCGUAGACGGCGACGCAAGUCUGGAGUGAAAGCCCGGGGCCCAACCCCGGGACUGCUCUGGAAACUGCGUCGCUGGAGUACGGGAGGGGCAGGCGGAAUUCCUAGUGUAGCGGUGAAAUGCGUAGAUAUUAGGAGGAACACCAGUGGCGAAGGCGGCCUGCUGGACGAUGACUGACGUUGAGGCUCGAAAGCGUGGGGAGCAAACAGGAUUAGAUACCCCUGUA
rnacentral:rRNA from 1 species